rnacentral:rRNA from 1 species
UACGAAGGGGGCUAGCGUUGCUCGGAAUCACUGGGCGUAACGCGCACGUAGGCGGACUCUUAAGUCGGUGGUGAAAUCCUGGAGCUCAACUCCAGAACUGCCUUCGAUACUGAGAGUCUCGAGUCCGGGAGAGGUGAGUGGAACUGCGAGUGUAGAGGUGAAAUUCGUAGAUAUUCGCAAGAACACCAGUGGCGAAGGCGGCUCACUGGCCCGGUACUGACGCUGAGGUGCGAAAGCGUGGGGAGCAAACAGG